rnacentral:rRNA from 1 species
GCGUGCUAUACAUGCAGUCGAGCGGACAGAUGGGAGCUUGCUCCCUGAUGUUAGCGGCGGACGGGUGAGUAACACGUGGGUAACCUGCCUGUAAGACUGGGAUAACUCCGGGAAACCGGGGCUAAUACCGGAUGGUUGUUUGAACCGCAUGGUUCAAACAUAAAAGGUGGCUUCGGCUACCACUUACAGAUGGACCCGCGGCGCAUUAGCUAGUUGGUGAGGUAACGGCUCACCAAGGCAACGAUGCGUAGCCGACCUGAGAGGGUGAUCGGCCACACUGGGACUGAGACACGGCCCAGACUCCUACGGGAGGCAGCAGUAGGGAAUCUUCCGCAAUGGACGAAAGUCUGACGGAGCAACGCCGCGUGAGUGAUGAAGGUUUUCGGAUCGUAAAGCUCUGUUGUUAGGGAAGAACAAGUACCGUUCGAAUAGGGCGGUACCUUGACGGUACCUAACCAGAAAGCCACGGCUAACUACGUGCCAGCAGCCGCGGUAAUACGUAGGUGGCAAGCGUUGUCCGGAAUUAUUGGGCGUAAAGGGCUCGCAGGCGGUUUCUUAAGUCUGAUGUGAAAGCCCCCGGCUCAACCGGGGAGGGUCAUUGGAAACUGGGGAACUUGAGUGCAGAAGAGGAGAGUGGAAUUCCACGUGUAGCGGUGAAAUGCGUAGAGAUGUGGAGGAACACCAGUGGCGAAGGCGACUCUCUGGUCUGUAACUGACGCUGAGGAGCGAAAGCGUGGGGAGCGAACAGGAUUAGAUACCCUGGUAGUCCACGCCGUAAACGAUGAGUGCUAAGUGUUAGGGGGUUUCCGCCCCUUAGUGCUGCAGCUAACGCAUUAAGCAC